rnacentral:lncRNA from 1 species
UCUUGCAAAAACUCCUUCCAUGUGACUUUGGCAAGAAUCACUCCUUGGCGUUUUAAAUGCUAAAAGGUUUUAGCAUCUUGUCAAUAUGUAUUCAUUGCUUAGCCCCAUUAGGUAAAUCUAUCUCCAUAGAUCAUCAUGCCUAAUAUUGAGGCUAUUUAGCCUAAGCACUUCAUCGAAAAACUAUUUUCAAAUGAAGUCCUAAUUCGUGUCAAGAAAUUUAUUUCCAAUUACCAAUUUGCCAAGCACAUAAGGUUUUUAGAAAUAUUAUUACGCUCCCACUUACUUUCUUGAAUUACAAGCAUCUUCGUUACCCAUUGAUGAAGUCAAAACCCCUUUGACCAUUUCAUCAAAACACGAAGAUUCCAACUCCAUUUUGCUCUCUUCUGUCCAUUGCUAGAACUCUGAAGUUUGCAUACCUACUAGCAUCCUCUGGAUCGACAAAUUACUUUGGACUGUAUCAUAUAAAAGUCCUAGCUUUCAUUUCCAUCAGAUGGAAAUCCUUUUAUCAUCCAUGUUUCAUAUCUCAUGAUUGAAAUAUGUAUUAAUUGCUAGUUCAACCCGAACCGACUUUAAGCAUCGCUACGAUGAAAACAACCUCAUCGUAGUCAACUCUUGAACUUGUUAUUUCAACAAGUCGAGCUUUAUGGAUAAAACAUUUUAUCCGUAUCAGUUUUAAGUUCCAUAAAUAUUCGUUAGACUCUAAGUCUUCCGAAAGGUGUAUCAAGGUUUUAAUCUUGAAUCACUUAUAUGGAAACUAACUUGGGUUGUAUUGGCAUUUAGCCAAUUCCGGAGUCAGGGCCCAUCAACGCUUCCUUGUGUAUCGUAGGUAUAAUGUUGUCUAACAACAAUAUCUCGUUUGCGCACCUGAGAGGUUUGUACGAGCCUUGCCUACGUGGUUCAGCUGCAAGUUCGACCGAAGUUCAUACAUUUUAUUGUAGAGACUUCCGUAUCAGUCGCAGUAGGAAACUCUGGAAUUACUUCCAAGGUCUCUUUCCUUUGAUCUGAUGACUUAGAUACUGUUUAUCUCGUCGAGUUGCACUAUUCUCCCACUCACCUUUUUGAAAGAACCAUUCUCUUUAAAAGCACACCGUUUCGCGGCAAAACUAUUUGCCUCGGUAUAGUGAGGGAGGAGUACCCAACAUUUUGGUAUAACCUACAAAGUAGCACUUGUCUGAUUUGGAAUAGGUUUGUAACCUUUUACACAAGCCCCAUAUUCAAAAUGUUAAGAAAAGAUAUAACAUGGUUGGGCGUACCAUACCAUGGCUUCAUUUCAACAGACCCGAUGUAGCUCUUUUCAGUGUAAAAGCCGCAGUCUCUAAACCAUCACUUUAAAAGGGAUAAUGGAAAAUUUAUUUAUGUCAUCUUUGACCUUACCAUGUCAUAAAUGGUUAGAUUACAUCUCCACGGACUUUUCACUUGCAGUGGUGUUCCGGGAGGUGCAAGUUAUGAAACCCCUUUCACAACUCAUCAGACAUUCGCUGAACAUGUAACUCAAAUAUUCCUUUGUGCAAUCAAAUUGCAGAAACAUAAUUUUCUUGUUACAAUAACUUCUACUUCAUUUUUGAAAACCUUUUGAAUGAUUUCAAAAGAUCCAGACUUACGUCUCAUCAAGUAAAUAUCCAUAUAUCUACUUGAGUCAUUUCUGAAGAUAAAUAAAUCCACCACUAACAACACUUAUCGGACUACACACAUCAAAUGUAUGAUCACUAAUAAGUUUGUUGUUCGUUCCUUAUUGCCUGUGAACGGUAUUUUAGUCACUUCACUUUUCAGAGGAAAGUUGCAAGUGUUAGAUGAUUCAAAAUCAAAAAGACUUCAAAAUCCAUCAUAAUGGAAUUUUCCAUGCGGGUUUCUCCAAUGUGACCAAAUGUAGUGCCACACUUGUGUGGUAUUCUUUUAGUCUUGCGACAUUUAGCGUCAGUGUUAUGGAUGUAUCAUAUUACCCUCAAUAUUCAUAACAUACGUCCCAUCUUGGAUGGAAGCAUGGCCCUUCAUGUUAUUCAUAAUACUUAACAACAAUUGUUGUUUUUAUGAACAACUCUUUUGCAACAAACAUUGUGCAAUGGGCUAGAGUGUAUGAAACUCUAAAAUGAAUUAUGAAAGUAAACCCAGAGGUAUUGUAUUAUUAUCAAUAUUCAUAACAUACAUCUCAUUCAUAAUGAAAGUAUGGCCCUUGUGUUAUUCAUAACAUCGAACAUAAAAGGUUCUCUUAUGAACAACCUUCUUGCAAGAUACCUUAUGCAAUGGGCUAGAGUUUGUAAAACUCUAAAUGAAUUAUGAAAAUAAAUACAGACGGCAAUACACCGAUGGAAGGUAUAGUAACAUUUACUAUGUUCCCUGUGUAUACCUUAACCUCAUUUCUGGCUAGUCUUUUUAGGCCACAGUAGCUCUUACAGUGAUUCGCAAUUGAAUGCAAUCGAGCGGGUAUCUUUGUGAUUAACUCACAAUACCCAAGAAUUAGUGAUUAACAUGUUUAACCAUAAUUCCCAAGAACUAUAUCUUUGACCAGCCUACUAUACAACAAAAACUUGUAUGACAUUCAUACAUGAGCUGGAUAUUCCAGUCUUCUUUCCUUUUGCCUUUAUACUUCUAACAGUUUAACUUUUAGUAUUUCUCCUACUCUCAGAAGAAGCACCCAACUUAAGAGUGGCAUUAGCCCCGGACUUCCUAGGCGUGUAAGUCAUACUAACACCCUUUGGACACUUCCUUUCUCUUUAGGUUGUUGUUUUAUUCACCUUUCAUUAUAUGACAGGCGUUCUUCUGGAUCCCUUUCCCAACAGUCAAAUGCAUAGUAAACACUUUUACUAAUACUUGCAAACAAACAUUGCUUUGUUUGUAUCUGAAAAUAAUUUUCAGUUCCAUGAAUAUCAUAUAACUAUCCCAACUUUUGAAGUUUGGGUUUCAUGGAAGCAAACAUAUUCCACUUGACCAUAACAGAAUUCUAGCUUUUGGAUUGAAGGACGAGAGUCACAUGAUCCAUAGCAUUAGCCGGAGGAUACGGAAAGCAUGCGAUAGGACAAAGUUCUUCUCGACACUUUUGAGGACAAUCCUCAUAUUACGUUACCAAUCGUAAAGUUUUAACCAGAUAUUUAACAGCUAUUCAAUUUUAAUAGGGAAGGUGGAAAUGCGAGCCAUUAUUCUACAACUAUUAUGCAAGAAACACUUAGACAGUGUUCAUAAUUAAUUGCACUGAGAAUUAAACAUGUUAAUUCAACAGUGCGCUCCCACUCAAAUCAAUAUCUCUCACAAUUAAUUUUGAGUGAUACAAGAUCCAGACUUCAAUUCAUCGCCAUAGAAUCAUCAUCUCAUAACGGGAAUUUUAAUCGGUAGGCCAACUUGCCGAUCACAUCUCUAUGUGACUCUUGCUCAUCUUUCGAUGCGUGUGUUCCGAGCUCAGGACGAUCCUGCCAUGAACGUCAAGACAACCAAGUGAUCUUGCUGCAAGGUCUGACCUCACCCGCCUCACACUUCUCUAAUCGUUCGUACCCAUGCAUCCAUGGCGCACCCCGAAAAGAUAGGUGCCGUGACGGUGCUACAGUUGGGAGAACACUAACUACUUGAUAUUUUAAGUGAGAGAUCACCCUAAUAAAAGCGACUACCGCGCAAUCAAGAAGGGUGCAUCAUAAGGGAUAAACAUCUCAGGCAAUUCAUAAUAGCAUGAUAUGGUAUAGCCCUUUCUGACGGAGAAGUAUUUCAUUUCUUCGUCUUCGACAUUCGCGUCGGUGGUCACCUUCAUGAAGAUUGCCACCACCUUGUCGAUGCACCAGAUAAUAUUGCUAUCUCUAUAGCUAACAAAAUAAUGCAUUACAACAAGGUUGACACGCAGGUCAUUAAAAUGCAAUCAUAUGGCUCCAGCCAUCAUGCCGAAUCAUGACACGCAGGUCAUGUUAAUCAAAUUACAUCAUAUAGUCAUCUCAUACAUAAUCGAAUUAGUAUGAGCACUGCUAUACCACAUCACAUGCACAUCCUGCAAAACCAAGUUAGACGCCUCUAAUAGGUUUAUGCAAAAUUUUAUUUUACGUGGCUUCUAAGGUUUUGACUUAAACAGCAGCUACCAACGUUUUAUCAUCAAGUAUGAUUAUUCAGGUUGCUAGAUUAACAUCUCGGGGUGUAUGAAACACGGGAUAAUUAAAUCUCGAGCCCCAUACUAAACUUUGUCAUACGCAUGACCCCCGUGCAGAUCAUAUCUGCAAUGCCCUUUCAUCUGCGAAUUUCAUCUUUCUUUUGACUACGGCAGAACCCAAAGAACUGGUAGCACUUCCAUGAUCAAUCAGGAUCACGGAUUGCCAGAACUUUGUCAAAUUCCACCAUGCUGUCUCGAGAUUGAGCAAACGCAAAUUCUAGGGAAGCAACAAGAACCUCGGGUAACAGAUUUCAUCUGUCACCCGCAUAAAUAAUUUUCAGCAAUAGAUCUCAUCUACUACCUAAUUAUAUUAUGCAAUACCCAUACAUCUCCAUGUAUUCUAGAUCGAAACCUGCAUCUACGCAUAGCACGGCUCUUGAUGCCACUGUAGGGGAACGCAGCAGAAAACAAAAAUUUUCCGACCUACGCACCAGCCCAGGACCACUAUGGAGACUGCAUACAUGGUUUGAUCUUUUUCGUUACCGACUCGUACCGCAGCGGGAAGUAGAGUCGAUGACGAUCGGCGGUGCAGAUCCCCGCAGCUAGAAUUUACAACCUCCCAACCGCGAGGAUGUAUACCCUCAUCUGCUCCUCAGACAGCCCUCCAGGAGGCGGUCGAACAGCCCCCCGGACGGUGUCGCGGACAGCCCUUCGGGAGGACCUUCGAAACUCGAACGGUCACUCGGACAGCCCUUCGGGAGGACCUUCAAAACUCGGACGGUCACACGGACAGCCCUUCGGGAGGCACUCACGAAAUAAGACCGAAACUACGAUCUCUCUACAGAGUUGCACACAUACGGUGUCAUCUAUCCGGCAGGGCUUCGCCGUCCAGAACUAGUUCCUGCCGGAACCCAGACAGCCUUACGGCUCUACGAAACUCUUUUCGUGGGAGGGAGAGAAGAAGCCAGAUAAUGCAUGGCAUGUGUAUGAGAGCAAGGGAUGAGUGUGGAGGGCUGCCCCUCCACCUCUAUUUAUAGGAAAUCCCAAGGGGGUAGGGUAGUUUCACAAAAAACCCAAAAUGCACAUGAAUGAAGUCCUUCCACAAGGACCUAGGAGUGAAACCAAGGAACAAGAGGGUCCCCAAGGGGGGAUACCCUAUGUGGCCGGCCACACCCCCAUGAGGGGCCCAAAAAAUGGCUCCUAUCCAUCCAUGUCAUCCCCAAGAUCUUUUGGAGCAAAGCCCCAAAAGGUGGCUUUCCAUAAAGUAACCAUAAAGCUGAUUUUCACUAUUCACGACGACAUUUUUCAGCGUCUGAUCGAACUGAAAAUAUUUAUGUGGGCUAAGAACAUUUCCAGUACCCACUAAAAUGAUUUUCAACGCGUUACGAAACAAUUCCGGUUUUAGUGAUUUUCAUCUGCGAAACGCAUCUGAAGUGGCUCCGGCAGCUCCGGAACAUUUCCGGUUUUUAUCUCAGAAAAUUCCAAAAAGCUUCCAGAAUGAUUCUGGCAUCCUCCAAGAAUUAUCAGGCAUGUGCCGAAACCAAUUUGACUUAAUGGUGUAUCCCGAAACAACUUUUCGGUAUCAUCAAAACUUAUCCGAUGACCUCUCUCUGCGGUACGAUUCCGCUGUCCGAAAACUUUUUCGGUGAUUUUUUCUCAGACUCCCUGUCUAGUAUUCAGCAGAUAGAUGACCUUUAAGCGUGUGACCCUAUAGGUUCGGUGAAGUAUAGACAUGACCCGGAACCCCUUCCGAUCAAUGAUCAACAUCGGAGCCGUGGACACCCAUAUUGACCCCUAUACCCACACGAAUAAAUAUUCGAGUGAACCUCCAGUUGCCGUGUGCUAUUCCUGUUGCUUCGCGAUAUGUUACAAAUACCCGAGGUGAGACAUGUUGGCAUUCCCGUGGAUCAACAACUUGUCCACUAUGCUAGUUACCUCGUUACCGGUAUUGUUCUCUUUUCUCGUUAUCGUGUUCCGGCAUCCCCGUGAUCAAAUCACAAAGUGUCUGGCCAGACGAUGAUGGAUAUUGUAACACCGAGAGGGCCCAGAGAUAUCUCUCCAUCGUCGGAGGAGCAAAUCCCAAUCUUUGAGCUAUCAAGUUACUUGACACACUUUUCCAUGAACCCGUAAUCCGCCGUAAUAGCCACCCAUUUACGGAUGACGUUUAACAAACCCCAAAGUUCAUGAAGCAAGCAUGAAGAAACUCGAUACUCUCAUGGUCUAAGGAAUCAUGCAAACGUUAACCAUCUCUGUGUUAUGUACCAAUAAACUUGUGACGAAUGAAUCUCAUAGCAUAACAUCAUGCCGGGUCGAUUCAACACAAAUGUUCUCUUAACAUUAUGCCCUCAAGGUUGCUGACAUAGACAUGCCCAUGAUCAGGAAAACAUAACCAUCAUGCAACACUUGAGCUAGUCUUAGAGGCCAGACUAGGAAUACAUUUUACCGUUUAUUAUUCCACACGUGCAUAUGAGUCUUCCUCCGAGCCUCGUGGUUAUUGCAGACUCGAGAACCAUAGCAGUUAUAGCAUGGAACAUAAACAUAAUUAUGAACUCGGAGAUAAACAAUAUCAUUUAUUAUUGCCUCUAGGGCAUAUCUCCUACAGACUCCCACUUGCACUAGAAUCAAUAAUCUAGUUAAUGCUAAUGCACUUUACACCUGUGGCACACCGGUGUAAAUAUGCUUCGCUUGUGGUAUAGCCUGAUGUCCAACGGAUCUGACGACUUCAGUUCCGUGUGUAUCUUUGCAUGUCCUCGCGUUUUCACGUUUUCACAAAAUUCAUAUUUUGUGUGGACUUGGCUUUGUAUGUAUGUGAAUCACAGGUCGAACCUGGAUUCCUCAGACUAAGUUAUGGAGCAACUACCUGCAGUAGUGUCCCAUUGUCAAAAGCCAUCUUGGAACUAUACUAAGUUCAUGAAUGAACUAUAUGAUUCAACAUCUUCUUUGUCGCUUCUAAAGCGUCAACAUACUUAGCCCUUGUUAUAGAAUUCGCCACAGUAACUAGUUUGAACAAAUUCCAACUAACUGUUCCACCACAUUGUGUGUUACACAAAACCCUUAACUUAAAUCGAAAAUCGCACGGUGAAAAGAUGAAGACUAUCGAUGUAACAUUUUACAACGAACUCUUCAUGAUCUCCGCUUGCAAGAAAACAUAUCAUCAGUACUUACUCUAGUACUCAAUGACAUCUUUCACUGUUGUCCCACGAUCAGUACUUUGAUCACUUUAGUAUCCAUACUCGCAACACCUUGGGAGUAUCGGACAUAUCUGGUUGUUUUACAUACCAUGGAAUACAUGAUUAAUCCAAACACAAAAGUGUGUGGAAUCUGCAUCAUGUAUUUUACUCAUCAGUGUUUUGGGACACCGAGUCUUGCAAAAACUCCUUCCAUGUGACUUUGGCAAGAAUCACUCCUUGGCGUUUUAAAUGCUAAAAGGUUUUAGCAUCUUGUCAAUAUGUAUUCAUUGCUUAGCCCCAUUAGGUAAAUCUAUCUCCAUAGAUCAUCAUGCCUAAUAUUGAGGCUAUUUAGCCUAAGCACUUCAUCGAAAAACUAUUUUCAAAUGAAGUCCUAAUUCGUGUCAAGAAAUUUAUUUCCAAUUACCAAUUUGCCAAGCACAUAAGGUUUUUAGAAAUAUUAUUACGCUCCCACUUACUUUCUUGAAUUACAAGCAUCUUCGUUACCCAUUGAUGAAGUCAAAACCCCUUUGACCAUUUCAUCAAAACACGAAGAUUCCAACUCCAUUUUGCUCUCUUCUGUCCAUUGCUAGAACUCUGAAGUUUGCAUACCUACUAGCAUCCUCUGGAUCGACAAAUUACUUUGGACUGUAUCAUAUAAAAGUCCUAGCUUUCAUUUCCAUCAGAUGGAAAUCCUUUUAUCAUCCAUGUUUCAUAUCUCAUGAUUGAAAUAUGUAUUAAUUGCUAGUUCAACCUGAACCGACUUUAAGCAUUGCUACGAUGAAAACAACCUCAUCGUAGUCAACUCUUGAACUUGUUAUUUCAACAAGUCGAGCUUUAUGGAUAAAACAUUUUAUCCGUAUCAGUUUUAAGUUCCAUAAAUAUUCGUUAGACUCUAAGUCUUCCGAAAGGUGUAUCAAGGUUUUAAUCUUGAAUCACUUAUAUGGAAACUAACUUGGGUUGUAUUGGCAUUUAGCCAAUUCCGGAGUCAGGGAAGGCAAUGUUACUCCAAGAAGGC